UACGGAGGGUGCGAGCGUUGAUCGGAAUUACUGGGCGUAAAGGGCGCGUAGGCGGUGGGUUACGUCUGCCGUGAAAUCCCCGGGCUCAACCUGGGAAUGGCGGUGGAAACGGGCUGACUGGAGUAUGGGAGAGGGUGAUGGAAUUCCAGGUGUAGCGGUGAAAUGCGUAGAGAUCUGGAGGAACACCAGUGGCGAAGGCGGUCACCUGGCCCAAUACUGACGCUGAGGCGCGACAGCGUGGGGAGCAAACCGG
rnacentral:rRNA from 1 species